UUAAAAUAACUUACAAGUCAUCCUAAAUUGGAACAAUUACAUUUUCUAUUACAUUUUUAAAAAUUAUUACAACAAUAGUGCACUCAUAAAAUAUUUACACAAUUAAUAUAUUUAAAGUUUUAUUUACAAAAUUAGUGCAUUCUUCUCCCUUUAAUUUAGUUGAGUGUUUUAAUAGGUUGCAAUUCAACACUCUCUCUCCUCCCUUCUAUCUCCCUCCGCCGAACUCCUUUCCAUAAACAUCCAUAACUGGCAACAAAAUUUUCCAGAACUUUAUCUUUCAAAACAUUAAAUGCUUUACUAUUUCUCUCUCUUCUCAACAAACAAAUAUCAAAAAAUCUAUUAUAUAUAUUUUUUUAUUUCAUAAUGCAGUUGGUAGCCAAACCUUUAUACAAAUGUAACCAAUUUAGUUUUAUUGGGUUACCAAUUAAUUAAAAAAAAUCUAUUAUAGAAUUUUUUUCAUGAUGCAGCUGAUAGCCAAACUUUAAUACAAAGGUAACCAAUUCAAUUUUAUUGGGUUACCAAUUAAUUAUAAAAAAUCUAUUAUAGAAUUUUUUUUUCUCAUAGUGCAUCUGGUAGCCAAACCUUAAUACAAAUGUAACCAACAAAACCUAAAAUGGUUACCUUUGUAUGAAAGUUUUGGCUACCAACUGCACUGAAAUUUCUCUUGGUUACCCACAAAAACUAAAAUGGUUACCUUUGUAUAAAUAUUUGGCUACCAACUGCACUAAAAUUUAUCUUCUUCUCUUUUUAAUUUCUGGACUAAAUCAACCUCAGUUAUGUAAAUGCUAAUAAUGAAAAUAAAACAUAAAGGAAACUGGGAGAUCUUUGGCCGUAAUAGAUGACUUCUACAAUAAGGAGAUGCUCUGUUGACAUCUUCUUAUGAGACAGAGAGUGAAGAAGAAGAAGAUCCAAAACUUAUGUAUUGAAGAUGCACAAAAAUCAUAUGCAGGAAAUGUUGGACAAGAAAGAUCCAAAACUUAAAAGCCUGCAGAAGGAAUUGGGAGUUCAGAUUUACAAGGCUGUUACAACAGCCUUGUUAGAAAUUAAUGAGCAUAAUCCUAGCGGAAGAUAUGUUGUUCCUCAGUUGUGGAACUGUAGUGAAGAUCAGAAAGCCACACUGAAGGAGGUUAUCCAAUAUAUGCUGCAGAACAUGACUCCUAAACAUAAAAGAGGUUUAAAAUACAAUUUAUAAAGAAGAAGAUGUAGAUCGCCCUAUAAAGAGAGAGAGAGAGAGAUAGUGAAGAAGAAGGAUAGUGAAGAAGACUUACAAGAUCUACAUCUUCAAGGUGUUGAAGUGACGGCGAAGGAGGAGGACGAAGGAGAGGAGAGAGGAGGCGGUAAGGGUGAUAAAGAAAAUGAACGGAUGAGUGUUUUCCCUUAAUUAAGGAC
rnacentral:lncRNA from 1 species